rnacentral:rRNA from 1 species
GUUAAGCGACUAAGCGUACACGGUGGAUGCCCUGGCAGUCAGAGGCGAUGAAGGACGUGCUAAUCUGCGAUAAGCGUCGGUAAGGUGAUAUGAACCGUUAUAACCGGCGAUUUCCGAAUGGGGAAACCCAGUGUGAUUCGUCACACUAUCAUUAACUGAAUCCAUAGGUUAAUGAGGCGAACCGGGGGAACUGAAACAUCUAAGUACCCCGAGGAAAAGAAAUCAACCGAGAUUCCCCCAGUAGCGGCGAGCGAACGGGGAGGAGCCCAGAGCCUGAAUCAGUGUGUGUGUUAGUGGAAGCGUCUGGAAAGGCGCGCGAUACAGGGUGACAGCCCCGUACACAAAAAUACACAUGCUGUGAGCUCGAUGAGUAGGGCGGGACACGUGGUAUCCUGUCUGAAUAUGGGGGGACCAUCCUCCAAGGCUAAAUACUCCUGACUGACCGAUAGUGAACCAGUACCGUGAGGGAAAGGCGAAAAGAACCCCGGCGAGGGGAGUGAAAAAGAACCUGAAACCGUGUACGUACAAGCAGUGGGAGCACAGAGCAAUCUGUGUGACUGCGUACCUUUUGUAUAAUGGGUCAGCGACUUAUAUUCUGUAGCAAGGUUAACCGAAUAGGGGAGCCGAAGGGAAACCGAGUCUUAACUGGGCGUUAAGUUGCAGGGUAUAGACCCGAAACCCGGUGAUCUAGCCAUGGGCAGGUUGAAGGUUGGGUAACACUAACUGGAGGACCGAACCGACUAAUGUUGAAAAAUUAGCGGAUGACUUGUGGCUGGGGGUGAAAGGCCAAUCAAACCGGGAGAUAGCUGGUUCUCCCCGAAAGCUAUUUAGGUAGCGCCUCGUGAAUUCAUCUCCGGGGGUAGAGCACUGUUUCGGCAAGGGGGUCAUCCCGACUUACCAACCCGAUGCAAACUGCGAAUACCGGAGAAUGUUAUCACGGGAGACACACGGCGGGUGCUAACGUCCGUCGUGAAGAGGGAAACAACCCAGACCGCCAGCUAAGGUCCCAAAGUCAUGGUUAAGUGGGAAACGAUGUGGGAAGGCCCAGACAGCCAGGAUGUUGGCUUAGAAGCAGCCAUCAUUUAAAGAAAGCGUAAUAGCUCACUGGUCGAGUCGGCCUGCGCGGAAGAUGUAACGGGGCUAAACCAUGCACCGAAGCUGCGGCAGCGACGCUUAUGCGUUGUUGGGUAGGGGAGCGUUCUGUAAGCCUGCGAAGGUGUGCUGUGAGGCAUGCUGGAGGUAUCAGAAGUGCGAAUGCUGACAUAAGUAACGAUAAAGCGGGUGAAAAGCCCGCUCGCCGGAAGACCAAGGGUUCCUGUCCAACGUUAAUCGGGGCAGGGUGAGUCGACCCCUAAGGCGAGGCCGAAAGGCGUAGUCGAUGGGAAACAGGUUAAUAUUCCUGUACUUGGUGUUACUGCGAAGGGGGGACGGAGAAGGCUAUGUUGGCCGGGCGACGGUUGUCCCGGUUUAAGCGUGUAGGCUGGUUUUCCAGGCAAAUCCGGAAAAUCAAGGCUGAGGCGUGAUGACGAGGCACUACGGUGCUGAAGCAACAAAUGCCCUGCUUCCAGGAAAAGCCUCUAAGCAUCAGGUAACAUCAAAUCGUACCCCAAACCGACACAGGUGGUCAGGUAGAGAAUACCAAGGCGCUUGAGAGAACUCGGGUGAAGGAACUAGGCAAAAUGGUGCCGUAACUUCGGGAGAAGGCACGCUGAUAUGUAGGUGAAGCGACUUGCUCGUGGAGCUGAAAUCAGUCGAAGAUACCAGCUGGCUGCAACUGUUUAUUAAAAACACAGCACUGUGCAAACACGAAAGUGGACGUAUACGGUGUGACGCCUGCCCGGUGCCGGAAGGUUAAUUGAUGGGGUCAGCGCAAGCGAAGCUCUUGAUCGAAGCCCCGGUAAACGGCGGCCGUAACUAUAACGGUCCUAAGGUAGCGAAAUUCCUUGUCGGGUAAGUUCCGACCUGCACGAAUGGCGUAAUGAUGGCCAGGCUGUCUCCACCCGAGACUCAGUGAAAUUGAACUCGCUGUGAAGAUGCAGUGUACCCGCGGCAAGACGGAAAGACCCCGUGAACCUUUACUAUAGCUUGACACUGAACAUUGAGCCUUGAUGUGUAGGAUAGGUGGGAGGCUUUGAAGUGUGGACGCCAGUCUGCAUGGAGCCGACCUUGAAAUACCACCCUUUAAUGUUUGAUGUUCUAACGUGGACCCGUAAUCCGGGUUGCGGACAGUGUCUGGUGGGUAGUUUGACUGGGGCGGUCUCCUCCUAAAGAGUAACGGAGGAGCACGAAGGUUGGCUAAUCCUGGUCGGACAUCAGGAGGUUAGUGCAAUGGCAUAAGCCAGCUUGACUGCGAGCGUGACGGCGCGAGCAGGUGCGAAAGCAGGUCAUAGUGAUCCGGUGGUUCUGAAUGGAAGGGCCAUCGCUCAACGGAUAAAAGGUACUCCGGGGAUAACAGGCUGAUACCGCCCAAGAGUUCAUAUCGACGGCGGUGUUUGGCACCUCGAUGUCGGCUCAUCACAUCCUGGGGCUGAAGUAGGUCCCAAGGGUAUGGCUGUUCGCCAUUUAAAGUGGUACGCGAGCUGGGUUUAGAACGUCGUGAGACAGUUCGGUCCCUAUCUGCCGUGGGCGCUGGAGAACUGAGGGGGGCUGCUCCUAGUACGAGAGGACCGGAGUGGACGCAUCACUGGUGUUCGGGUUGUCAUGCCAAUGGCACUGCCCGGUAGCUAAAUGCGGAAGAGAUAAGUGCUGAAAGCAUCUAAGCACGAAACUUGCCCCGAGAUGAGUUCUCCCUGACUCCUUGAGAGUCCUGAAGGAACGUUGAAGACGACGACGUUGAUAGGCCGGGUGUGUAAGCGCAGCGAUGCGUUGAGCUAACCGGUACUAAUGAACCGUGAGGCUUAACCUU